ACAUCACAACAGGUUUUCCAUAACAUUCAACUACUCAGGCUACUAUAAAUGAAACAACAACUUGGCGAUAAAUCAAACAACUUCGCGAUAAUGCAAGGGGUACCUUAAAGUCUACUCUACCCAUGUAUGGUUAUAAGUCUUAUAUAUUAAACUUGGCUCCUACAAAGUUUAACAUAGAAUACAGAGCAAAUUCCCUUGAAUUUCAGACUUUUGUCAGGACAUUGCCAUCAUGCUGAUCAAGCAACUUGGGGAAUGUCAACAUUGUUACUGCUUUAACAACUGUAAAGUUCAAUGAUAUGGUCAAGUAUAAAUUCAAUUGAAGAAUGCAAAAAAUGGGUAAAGGAAGUCGGCGUAAAUUCAGAUACCCCAGUGGAUAGUGCAAGAGCUCUAAACCAAAUGCUACUACUUGCUUUCAGUGAAAAGUAUGCAUGCCAUCAUGCAAGUUAUAGGAAAGCAUGAACAUGUACUGCACAUGUACGAGGAAGGCAAGAUAACAAUUAUGACUGUAAAUCAUCACUGCUUAUAUCUGUCAAGCUGACUACACAAACUAUAGUAGCAAAAGAUAAGUUGUAGAAAGUGUGUAACAGAGAUUUAUACAUACAUUAUAGUUAGUAAAUAAUCAUUCUUAACUAUAAAUAAAAUUUAAAUAUAAUGAAAUUCAAACCCCUUAUUUCAUUUUUUAUAAUUUCUCUUCUUAUUACGAGGGGAUUUCACAACCAUUGACUCCUCUCAUUGUUAAAUAAUUCAUUUAGCAUUGAACAACAUAUUAUUUUAUUGGUUAAAAAAUAAUAAAAUAUUUUGUGUGUAUGACCAAGCUAUGAUCUAAGAUUUUUCAAUGCUUGAAGCAUCAUUUUAAAGAUUUUUAUAAAAUUGUUUUAAUUUCAGGCAUUGGCAGAGUGAAUGGCAGUUGAAAAAUUUUGGCCCUUAUUCUGGAAGUGGAAUGUUAGAUGUUUUCGCAUAAUAUCAAUCAAAAGCAUUGCCUCUCCAUUUUCAUGGUCAAAAAGAUAAAGUUAAAAAAAAAAAAAAAAAAAAAAAAAAAAGAAAAAAAGAAAGAAAGAAAAAAAGAAAAA